CUACUGCCUGAUGGCAAUAUCCCAUACCUUGAUGGUUAUUUUCUCUUUCAGGGAACCGGGGUUGCAUCCGCAACCUAUCAUUUUAUUAUCCGGAAUGAUCAAUUAAAGGACUCCCAUCCCUCCUUGAAAAGGCGAAGGAAAUAAAAAACAUAUAAAAAAAAGACUACCACAAAGAAGUAUGUUCAAGCUCAAUGCCAGGUCAGAAGUAAAGGACCACUGCAAAUAGAGGUCAGAUCUCAACAAAGACAUAUCUGUU